rnacentral:ncRNA from 1 species
AAAAAUAUUCGGCAAACUAAUGGAAAUGUUAGGACGCAAAACUAUAGGGCCUUUAAAAUGGCAGCCAGUUGCAAAA